rnacentral:rRNA from 1 species
UAGCUUCGGCGAAGGUCUUAAUUGAAGCCCCAGUGAACGGCGGCCGUAACUAUAACGGUCCUAAGGUAGCGAAAUUCCUUGUCGGGUAAGUUCCGACCCGCAUGAAAGGCGUAAUGAUUUGGGCGCUGUCUCAACAAUAGACUCGGUGAAAUUUAAAUUCCAGUGAAGAUGCUGGGUACCCGCGACAGGACGGAAAGACCCCGUGGAGCUUUACUGUAGCUUGAUAUUGAAUGUUUGUGCUGCAUGUGCAGGAUAGGUAGGAGACUUUGAAGUCGGAACGCUAGUUUCGAUUGAGUCACCCUUGAGAUACUACCUCUGUUGUAUGAACGUUCUAACUCUGAUCAGUUAUCCUGAUCGAAGACAGUGUCUGGCAGGCAGUUUGACUGGGGCGGUCGCCUCCUAAAAGAUAACGGAGGCGCUCAAAGGUUUGCUCAGAAUGGUUGGAAAUCAUUCGUAGCGUGUAAAGGCAUAAGCAAGCUUGACUGUGAGACUGACAAGUCGAGCAGGUACGAAAGUAGGACUUAGUGAUCCGGUGGUUCCGUAUGGAAGGGCCAUCGCUCAACGGACAAAAGCUACCCCGGGGAUAACAGGCUCAUCUCCCCCAAGAGUCCACAUCGACGGGGAGGUUUGGCACCUCGAUGUCGGCUCAUCGCAUCCUGGGGCUGUAGUCGGUCCCAAGGGUUGGGCUGUUCGCCCAUUAAAGCGGUACGCGAGCUGGGUUCAGAACGUCGUGAGACAGUUCGGUCCCUAUCCGUCGUGGGCGCAGGAAAUUUGAGAGGAUCUGUCCUUAGUACGAGAGGACCGGGAUGGACAUACCUCUGGUGUACCAGUUGUUCUGCCAAGAGCACCGCUGGGUAGCUACGUAUGGAUUAGAUAAUCGCUGAAAGCAUCUAAGUGAGAAACUAACCUCGAGAUGAGAUUUCCCAUUCGUCAGAAGUAAGACCCCUGAGAGACGAUCAGGUAGAUAGGCUAGAAGUGGAAGUGUAGUGAUGCAUGGAGCGGACUAGUACUAAUAGGUCGAGGACUUAACCAAG